rnacentral:rRNA from 1 species
ACACAUGCAAGUCGAACGGAGAUUACAGGCGGAAGUUUUCGGAUGGAAGCUUGUAAACUUAGUGGCGGACGGGUGAGUAACACGUGAGCAACCUGCCUAUCAGAGGGGGAUAACGAUUGGAAACGAUCGCUAAUACCGCAUGACAUAGCGGAAUCGCAUGGUUCUGUUAUCAAAGAUUUUAUCGCUGAUAGAUGGGCUCGCGUCCGAUUAGAUAGUUGGUGGGGUAACGGCCUACCAAGUCGACGAUCGGUAGCCGGACUGAGAGGUCGAACGGCCACAUUGGGACUGAGACACGGCCCAGACUCCUACGGGAGGCAGCAGUGGGGGAUAUUGCACAAUGGGGGAAACCCUGAUGCAGCGACGCCGCGUGAGGGAAGACGGUCCUCUGGAUUGUAAACCUCUGUCUUCGGGGACGAAACGAGACGGUACCCGAGGAGGAAGCCACGGCUAACUACGUGCCAGCAGCCGCGGUAAUACGUAGGUGGCAAGCGUUGUCCGGAAUUACUGGGUGUAAAGGGAGCGUAGGCGGGCAGGCAAGUCAGGCGUGAAAUAUAUCGGCUCAACCGGUAACGGCACUUGAAACUGCAGGUCUUGAGUGAAGUAGAGGUUGGCGGAAUUCCUAGUGUAGCGGUGAAAUGCGUAGAUAUUAGGAGGAACACCAGUGGCGAAGGCGGCCAACUGGGCUUUUACUGACGCUGAGGCUCGAAAGUGUGGGGAGCAAACAGGAUUAGAUACCCUGGUAGUCCACACCGUAAACGAUGAUUACUAGGUGUGGGGGGACUGACCCCUUCCGUGCCGGA